rnacentral:rRNA from 1 species
CGGCGGACGGGUGAGUAACGCGUGGGUAACCUGCCUCAUACAGGGGGAUAACAGUUAGAAAUGACUGCUAAUACCGCAUAAGACCACAGGGCCGCAUGGCCCGGUGGUAAAAACUCCGGUGGUAUGAGAUGGACCCGCGUCUGAUUAGCUGGUUGGUGGGGUAACGGCCUACCAAGGCGACGAUCAGUAGCCGACCUGAGAGGGUGACCGGCCACAUUGGGACUGAGACACGGCCCAAACUCCUACGGGAGGCAGCAG